rnacentral:rRNA from 1 species
GAUUAACGCUGGCGGCGUGCAUAACACAUGCAAGUCGAACGAUGAAACUUAAAUGAUCUCUUCGGAGUGAUUCUAAGUGGAUUAGUGGCGGACGGGUGAGUAACGCGUGAGUAACCUGCCUUAGAGAAGGGGAUAGCCUUUGGAAACGAAGAAUAAUACCCUAUGAUACGAACCCUACGCAUGUAGAGUUGGUCAAAGAUUUAUCGCUCUAAGAUGGACUUGCGUCUGAUUAGUUAGUUGGUGAGGUAACGGCCCACCAAGACAGCGAUCAGUAGCCGGCUUGAGAGAGUGUACGGCCACAUUGGGACUGAGACACGGCCCAGACUCCUACGGGAGGCAGCAGUGGGGAAUUUUGCACAAUGGGGGAAACCCUGAUGCAGCGACGCCGCGUGAUUUAGAAGGCCUUCGGGUUGUAAAAAUCUUUUCUAUGGGAAGAAAAUGACAGUACCAUAGGAAUAAGGACCGGCUAAUUACGUG